rnacentral:rRNA from 1 species
CCUACGGGGGGCUGCAGUGGGGAAUAUUGGACAAUGGGGGGAACCCUGAUCCAGCCAUGCCGCGUGUGUGAAGAAGGCCCUCGGGUUGUAAAGCACUUUCAGUGAGGAAGAACGCCUGGUGGUUAAUACCCAUCAGGAAAGACAUCACUCACAGAAGAAGCACCGGCUAACUCCGUGCCAGCAGCCGCGGUAAUACGGAGGGUGCGAGCGUUAAUCGGAAUUACUGGGCGUAAAGCGCGCGUAGGUGGCUUGAUAAGCCGGUUGUGAAAGCCCCGGGCUCAACCUGGGAACGGCAUCCGGAACUGUCAAGCUAGAGUGCAGGAGAGGAAGGUAGAAUUCCCGGUGUAGCGGUGAAAUGCGUAGAGAUCGGGAGGAAUCCCAGUGGCGAAGGCGGCCUUCUGGACUGACACUGACACUGAGGUGCGAAAGCGUGGGUAGCAAACAGGAUUAGAUACACUGGUAGUC